rnacentral:rRNA from 1 species
CGCGUAGGCGGGAUGGCAAGUCGGUCGUGAAAUCCUUCGGCUCAACCGAAGAACGUCGGCCGAUACUGCCGUUCUUGAGGGAUGCAGAGGAGAUUGGAAUCCCGGUGUAGCGGUGAAAUGUGUAGAGAUCGGGAGGAACACCGGUGGCGAAGGCGGGUCUCUGGGCAUCUCCUGACGCUGAGGCGCGAAAGCGUGGGGAGCAAACGG